rnacentral:rRNA from 1 species
AUUGAACGCUGGCGGCAGGCCUAACACAUGCAAGUAGAACGAGUGGCGGACGGGUGAGUAAUGUCUGGGAAACUGCCUGAUGGAGGGGGAUAACUACUGGAAACGGUAGCUAAUACCGCAAACCAUCAGAUGUGCACAGAUGGGAUUAGCUUGUUGGUGGGGUAACGGCUCACCAAGGAGACGAUCCCUAGCUGGGCUGCGAGGAUGACCAGCCACACUGGAACUGAUACACGGUCCUGACGCUUACGGGAGGCAGCAGUGGGUAAUUUGGCACGAUGGGCGCAAGCCUGAUGCAGCCAUGCCGCGUGUUUGAAGAAGGCCUUCGGAUUGUAAAGUACUUUCAGCGGGGAAGCGUUACCCGCAGAAGAAGCACCGGCUAACUCCGUGCCAGCAGCCGCGGUAAUAC